UACGUAUGGUGCAAGCGUUAUCCGGAUUUACUGGGUGUAAGGGGAGCGUAGGCGGCGCGUUAAGUCUGAUGUGAAAACCCGAGGCUCAACCACGGGAGUGCAUUGGAAACUGGCGGGCUGGAGUGCCGGAGAGGUAAGCGGAAUUCCUAGUGUAGCGGUGAAAUGCGUAGAUAUUAGGAGGAACACCAGUGGCGAAGGCGGCUUACUGGACGGCAACUGACGCUGAGGCUCGAAAGCGUGGGGAGCAAACAGG
rnacentral:rRNA from 1 species